rnacentral:rRNA from 1 species
UGGGGAAUUUUGGAUCAAUGGGCGAAAGCCUGAUCCAGCAAUGCCGCGUGUGUGAAGAAGGCCUUCGGGUUGUAAAGCACUUUUGUCCGGAAAGAAAUCCUUGGCUCUAAUACAGUCGGGGGAGUGACGGUACCGGAAGAAUAAGCACCGGCUAACUACGUGCCAGCAGCCGCGGUAAUACGUAGGGUGCAAGCGUUAAUCGGAAUUACUGGGCGUAAAGCGUGCGCAGGCGGUUUGCUAAGACCGAUGUGAAAUCCCCGGCGUCACCUGGACUGCAUGUGAUGCUGGCAGGCUAGAGUAUGGCAGAGGGGGUGAAAUUCCACGUGUAGCAGUGAAAUGCGUAGAGAUGUGGAGGAAUACCGAUGGCGAAGGCAGCCCCUGGCCAGUACUGACGCUCAUGCACGAAAGCGUGGGGAGC